rnacentral:rRNA from 1 species
CGUAACAAGGUUUCCGUAGGUGAACCUGCGGAA